rnacentral:rRNA from 1 species
GGCUCAGAACGAACGCUGGCGGCGUGCUUAACACAUGCAAGUCGAACGAACCUUCGGGUUAGUGGCGGACGGGUGAGUAACGCGUGAGAAUCUGCCCUCAGGAGGGGGAUAACGGUUGGAAACGACCGCUAAUACCCCAUAUGCCGAGAGGUGAAAAGAAAUUCGCCUGAGGAUGAGCUCGCGUCUGAUUAGCUAGUUGGUGUGGUAAUGGCGCACCAAGGCUUCGAUCAGUAGCUGGUCUGAGAGGAUGAUCAGCCACACUGGGACUGAGACACGGCCCAGACUCCUACGGGAGGCAGCAGUGGG